CAAAAAUAAAAUACGACAAUAGAAACAUGAAGAAAGAAAUAGAAAAUCUCGGUGCCUAGCUUAAUUACACCAGUGAGCUAAAAAGUAAAAGUAAGGUACAGGUUACCUCCUUCACACCAGCCCCAAUAUCCACCCGCCAGUUUGUAGGCAUCUGGGAAGGACACACACCCACUGUCACAAUAGGCCCCAUCCAAGAGGCAGUAGGCACCAUAGACAGGAAAAACGAAAGCAAAAGUCAGAAAGGGGAGGGGAAGCCGCCGUGAGUAAAUGAAUAAGGAGGGGAAGAGGGGCUGGCAUGGGCAGGAGAUCCCUGAAGUCACCCAAAGGUGACCUCUCCAACAAGAAUUCGAGGUAGAAGAAUAAUCCCCCGGAGUGAUCCUUAAAGUCCCCCUGGUAGGGGAUAAGAGGAUGAAACCAGCGACUUUAUGAGGCGUGAAGAGCAGUUGAGGUGGGGGACUGAACCCAACCUGCCCAUCCCUCAGCCGCCUACAUCACUAGCCAUCCAAGGGCCCCAGACCUUCUCGAAUGUCUUCAUAGUGCCCCUCACCUGGGCCGUUAGCUUAUCCAUUAGACAAGUACCCUUGAUUUUUUUGGACUACUGCUUCCACUGAAAGAGUCUCCCUCUGAAGCCAAACUUGUGCUAACGCCCUCCUGGCUGCCAAAUUUAAUUUGUUUAAUAGUUUUUGAUCCGUUUUCGGCCAGUCAUCCAAGGGUCUAGCUAACAAAAACACCCAAGGGUCUAACAGAACUUCUUUACCUAGAACAUCCCUCAGCAAAUCUUUAAUCCUUAUCCAAUACCCCUGCACGUCUGGACAUUCCCACCACAUGGGAGAUAAGUCCCCCUCUGUUCGCACCCUCCCCAACACAAAUCUGUGGGGAUCUUAUGCAUUCUACAUAAUUUAACAGGGGUGGUGUAACAUUGAAACAUAGUCUUAUCAAUUUUUAAUUUGGAUAACUUGCUUUGUAUAUUUUUUUUUUUUUUUGUGAAAAUUAAUGCCUCAUUUUUUAUUUUUGUAUGUCAAGUAACGCUAGCGUUUUAUAAACAGGUUGAGAUAAGAUACGAGUCAGCUGUCUUUAGCUAGUAGCAAAAACAAACACAUUAAGCUGAUAACAGGUUGAAUCUAAACGUACAGGUGCAUAUACACCGAGCUGGCGAUGGGCAAGCUAACUGUGUAGGUUAAUAUAGUGGCUGGUUAUCUCCCUUCCCUGCAGAGCCAUCCUGUGCAGCGGUAAGACUAGGUAAAGGGAGGCUCGCCGGAUGCCAUUAACGUGAACCUAGGUGGGGGACAAGAGGAUAGCUUACUCAUUGCUUUUAGGUCCAUAAUUUUGGCAGUCCAACGUCCCACAUGUGAGGGUAAGUCCAAGUUCAAAUGCCUAAAAUGGCCACCGGCAGUAGGUUUGAGGUGUCAUCUCCCUCCAUUAUCGAGUCAUCAGUGCAGUUGCAGCAUAUGGUGGAGUGUGGGAACGGGGAGUGUGGCUGAUUGUUAGGUCGAUGGAGUCAGCCGAUACCUUUGCUGGGCUUGCUGGGAGGCGGCACCUGGGGGUACCGGUAAGCGGAACGGGCGCACGUGUGGCGGGGGGUCCCUCCUCCGCUCCAGGCCUUGUUGACGGUCGGCACCUUUGGACCACAGACUCGGAUACUCUGGGAGGCCGGGUCUUUUCCUCUGCGGGCGCUACGGAGGAGCCUGGUGUUCUUCCACCGCCAGCGGCGUGUGGCUUUCCGGCAUUGUGGCCUGUGCCUCGGAGGGGUUAUCCUCACGACCUUUGGCCCAGAUGGGCUCGUGCCGUUGGGUAUACGCUGUGUAGCUGCGCCCGGGGAGGGUCCAUUCCGCCUCUUCUCUCUGCUCCUCUCCACAUCUCCUUCACAUGGAGGCGGUGGUUGGGUUGCUCGCCGUUCCAGUGUCUCCCAGAAGCGCUGAAAUAAGG